rnacentral:sRNA from 2 species
AACUAGCGAACUACCACACUCAUUUUAUGAUGAUUGUUUAUUAAUCUUACAAGAGGGAUUCCAGCUGGGGAUGCUCCCAUAUGAUAAUAAUCUCCGAUGAGAGUCAAAUGCAGAUGGGGGAGGGGAGAGUCAGCGGGCUUCUUGUUCUCCUGUUUCUUUCUUUCUUUCUGUUUCAUUUUCAGCUAUGGAUGGUUUGAGGAUAAAAAUAAACCCAUAUAAAAAGAUGAAACACGGGAGAAACAGAUAACUCACAGACAACCAUUGAAACAGGCGCUGUCGGGAACGAAAAUUAACUUCUUUUG